rnacentral:rRNA from 1 species
CCUACGGGUGGCAGCAGUGAGGAAUAUUGGUCAAUGGACGCAAGUCUGAACCAGCCAUGCCGCGUGCAGGAAGACGGCCCUAUGAGUUGUAAACUGCUUUUGUACGAGGGUAAACUCAGAUACGCGUACCUUUCUGAAUGUACCUUAUGAAUAAGGAUCGGCUAACUCCGUGCCAGCAGCCGCGGUAAUACGGAGGAUUCAAGCGUUAUCCGGAUUUAUUGGGUUUAAAGGGUGCGUAGGCGGUCGGAUAAGUUAGAGGUGAAAUCCCGAGGCUCAACUUCGGAAUUGCAUUUGAUACUGUUAGGCUAGAGAGUAGUUGCGGUAGGCGGAAUGUAUGGUGUAGCGGUGAAAUGCUUAGAGAUCAUACAGAACACCGAUUGCGAAGGCAGCUUACCAAGCUACUUCUGACGUUGAGGCACGAAAGCGUGGGGAGCAAACAGGAUUAGAUACCCCUGUAGUC